GAGUGGGUUCGAACGAUUCGCUUAAGGACUCUCGAAAUUCUGAUGAGCAUUAACGUUUCCAAAACAAGGCUAUGGCGAGGAGAUUAAGACAGAAAAAAGAAAUUGGCAGAUCGCGCUGGUUAUUUGAAAAGAUUAAUAAAAAUGAAAAGUCUCAUCAAAGAAUAAAGGACUAGAACCACAGACACAGAGGAGAUUUUAGAAAGAGAGAGCAGCGUACACAACUCUAUGCCAUGCAGGAAUUUGGAGGUUGAAGACAACCACAGAUGAAAAAUACAUGUUUUGUGGGAAAGCGUGUGUACUAUGAAGUUAAAAUUUAAAAAAAGAUAGGAAACAUCAAGCAAGUCCUGAGACAAGGGACACGUGCUGACCAAGUUUACUUUAGAAACACUUGAAGUUCCCGUAAGACAUGUCGAACAUCCCAGGCCAUCUCAAAGCCCAGGAAUGGCUUUCUGGAAACUUGGAAUUAAUGGUGCCCAUCCUGCUUCAGGUAAGACCCCAGGUAAAGGUCCCCUGGUCUGCAAUUCCUCCUGGCUUACUUCUGCCAGCCAAUGUCAGGAAUGUAGUUUGUCUCUGCUGGGUCAGAAGUUGUCAGCUGUCCUCACCCGGUGUCCAGGUGUGCCCAGGGCCGGUGUGUCAAGGCCCAGCUCGCAGCCUUCUUCAGGGUGGAGCAUCUGAAAGGGCUCCCACCUUCACUUGCCCUUUAACUGAAGACUGAUAAAUGCCUUUAUCUGCCACUCACUGUUUUAAAAUCGAAGUGCCAGGAAAUGUUGACAUUAAACAAAAUUUAAAAAUACUAACUUCCUGCUUCAAAGUUGGGAUAAACAUAAACCCUCUAGUAAGACUGUCAGGCACAGAUUGAUGCCUCACUUCCCUCCAGCAUGAAUUUUCAGAUAUAACCGUCAUUACAACCUGGAACAGGUUAGUGGUUGUAGCUGCGCACGAGAGCUGCACCAUGCUACAUGCAGUAGACUUCGCCAUUGUCAUUAUUUGGAGAUGAGCUGUGAUGGUUUCAGCUGUGUAAGGGUGCAGAGUUGAAAAGGGGUGGACUGGGAUGGUGUUGUGACGUGUCUAGAGUCCUGUUGUUCAAUCAAAUAGUAAUCUAGGUCUUAUUGUGAUAUUAUCUUGCAGACAUAAUUAAAGGCAUUCAUCAGCUGACUUUAAGUAAGGAAUUUUCCUGGGUGACCUGGGUGGGCCUGAUUCAAUCAGCUGGAACGUCUUCAAAGUGGGGCUCGAUGUGCUUCGCCUGCACCCGUGGAGGUCCGUUCUGGGCAUCUUCCCUUAUGACUGGCUGCCCGACGGGUUUUGGAUUUGCUCAGCCAUGCCCAACCACAGAAGCCAAUUCCUUUUCCCUAAACCUCUUAACAUACGUAUCUCCUCCUGCCGGUUCUGCAUCUUGGCUUAAAUCCUGACUGGGAUGAGCAGUGAACAAGAAUGCCCACAAGGGGGCCUCCGAAUCCCAACUGUGUAUUAACACAAUUCGAUAGACUUGGAUCAAAUCAUUGUAGAAAAAUAAAAUGCUAAUAAAACACUAAACUUC